GCUUUAUAUAGUGAUUAUACUUGAUUGAAUUGUUAAAAUAAAUUUUUGGUCUGGUUACUAUGUUUUAUUGGGGCGAUAUAAGUAUAAUUUUUAUUAACUGCUUAGGUAAAAUACAAUAAUAGAUGAUAAAGUAGAUGAUCCUUUUUAAAGAUUAAAAGACUAAGUU
rnacentral:rRNA from 1 species